rnacentral:rRNA from 1 species
UACGUAGGGGGCGAGCGUUGUCCGGAAUUAUUGGGCGUAAAGAGCUCGUAGGCGGUGUGUCACGUCGAUCGUGAAAACUUACAGCUUAACUGUGAGCGUGCGGUCGAUACGGGCAUCACUGGAGUUCGGCAGGGGAGACUGGAAUUCCUGGUGUAGCGGUGAAAUGCGCAGAUAUCAGGAGGAACACCGGUGGCGAAGGCGGGUCUCUGGGCCGAUACUGACGCUGAGGAGCGAAAGCGUGGGGAGCGAACAGG